rnacentral:rRNA from 1 species
AUGGCCCUGCCCUCGCCACGCAUGGCCCAAGCAGGUCGUCGCCAGGUGCCAGCACCCUCCAUUUACACCUACAACAUACUAAUUGACUGCUGCCACCGAGCAUGCCGGCCGGACCUAGGGCCUGCCUUCUUCGGUCGCCUCCUCAACACAGGCAUCACAAUGAGCGUCAUUACCUACAUCAGCCUAUUCAAGUGCCUCUGUGACAUGAAGCGCACAGAGGAGGCUCUGAACGUGCUGCUCCAUAGAAUGCCCGACGACCUGCCUAAUGUCAUCUCCUACUCAGUGAUUCUCAAGAGUUUCUGCGAUAGUGGGAGGAGCCAGCUUGCGCUUGACCUGCUCCAAAUGAUGGCCAAAAAAGGUGCUGACCACUCCCCCGACGCGAUGUCAUACAACAUCGUAAUCGAUGGCUUUUUUAAAGAGGGUGAAGUAAGCAAAGCAUGCGAUUUGUUCCAUGAAAUGAUGCAGCAGGGGGUUGUGCCCGAUAUGGCAACGUACAACUCCGUUAUCGAUGCGCUAUGCAAAGCAAGAGCAAUGGACAAGGCAGAGGUGGUUCUUCGAUCAAUGGUUCAUAAUGGUGUCCAACCAGAUGUUGUGACAUAUAAUAGCUUGAUCCAAGGAUAUUCAACUUUGGGACAGUUGAAAGAAGUCGCUAGGUUGUUGAAAGUGAUGAGAAGCCAAGGUGUUAUGCCAAGUGUUGUUACCUACAACUCACUCAUGGACUACCUUUGCAAGCAUGGAAGAAUCAAAGAAGCUGAGGAAAUACUUGAUUCCAUGGCCGUGAAUGGCCGAAAACCAGAUCUCAUACUCUAUUAUGCUCCAUGGGUACGCUAUAGAAGGAUCCCUUGU